AUUGAACGCUUUCUUCCUUCCUAACACAUGCAAGUCGAACGGUAACAGGAAGAAGCUUGCUUCUUUGCUGACGAGUGGCGGACGGGUGAGUAAUGUCUGGGAAACUGCCUGAUGGAGGGGGAUAACUACUGGAAACGGUAGCUAAUACCGCAUAACGUCGCAAGACCAAAGAGGGGGACCUUCGGGCCUCUUGCCAUCGGAUGUGCCCAGAUGGGAUUAGCUAGUAGGUGGGGUAACGGCUCACCUAGGCGACGAUCCCUAGCUGGUCUGAGAGGAUGACCAGCCACACUGGAACUGAGACACGGUCCAGACUCCUACGGGAGGCAGCAGUGGGGAAUAUUGCACAAUGGGCGCAAGCCUGAUGCAGCCAUGCCGCGUGUAUGAAGAAGGCCUUCGGGUUGUAAAGUACUUUCAGCGGGGAGGAAGGGAGUAAAGUUAAUACCUUUGCUCAUUGACGUUACCCGCAGAAGAAGCACCGGCUAACUCCGUG
rnacentral:rRNA from 1 species